rnacentral:rRNA from 1 species
GACGAACGCUGGCGGCGUGCUUAACACAUGCAAGUCGAACGGAAAGGCCCUGCUUUUGUGGGGUGCUCGAGUGGCGAACGGGUGAGUAACACGUGAGUAACCUGCCCUUGACUUUGGGAUAACUUCAGGAAACUGGGGCUAAUACCGGAUAGGAGCUCCUGCUGCAUGGGGGGGGUUGGAAAGUUUCGGCGGUUGGGGAUGGACUCGCGGCUUAUCAGCUUGUUGGUGGGGUAGUGGCUUACCAAGGCUUUGACGGGUAGCCGGCCUGAGAGGGUGACCGGCCACAUUGGGACUGAGAUACGGCCCAGACUCCUACGGGAGGCAGCGGUGGGGAGUCUUGCACAAUGGGCGGAAGCCUGUUGCAGCAACGCCGCGUGCGGGAUGACGGCCUUCGGGUUGUAAACCGCUUUCGCCUGUGACGAAGCGUGAGUGACGGUACUGGGUAAAGAAGCACCGGCUAACUACGU